GACGAACGCUGGCGGCGUGCUUAACACACGCAAGUCGAACGGAAAGGCCCUGCUUUUGUGGGGUGCUCGAGUGGCGAACGGGUGAGUAACACGUGAGUAACCUGCCCUUGACUUUGGGAUAACUUCAGGAAACUGGGGCUAAUACCGGAUAGGAGCUCCUGCUGCAUGGGGGGGGUUGGAAAGUUUCGGCGGUUGGGGAUGGACUUGCGGCUUAUCAGCUUGUUGGUGGGGUAGUGGCUUACCAAGGCUUUGACGGGUAGCCGGCCUGAGAGGGUGACCGGCCACAUUGGGACUGAGAUACGGCCCAGACUCCUACGGGAGGCAGCAGUGGGGAAUAUUGCACAAUGGGCGGAAGCCUGAUGCAGCAACGCCGCGUGCGGGAUGACGGCCUUCGGGUUGUAAACCGCUUUCGCCUGUGACGAAGCGUGAGUGACGGUAAUGGGUAAAGAAGCACCGGCUAACUACGUG
rnacentral:rRNA from 1 species